rnacentral:rRNA from 1 species
UACAGAGGGUGCAAGCGUUGUUCGGAAUUAUUGGGCGUAAAGAGCUCGUAGGCGGCUUGUCGCGUCGACUGUGAAAUCCCGCGGCUCAACUGCGGGUCUGCAGUCGAUACGGGCAGGCUAGAGUUCGGUAGGGGAGACUGGAAUUCCUGGUGUAGCGGUGAAAUGCGCAGAUAUCAGGAAGAACACCCGUGGCGAAGGCGGCUCUCUGGGACGGUACUGACGCUGAGACGCGAAAGCGUGGGGAGCGAACAGG